AACGCUGGCGGCGUGCCUAACACAUGCAAGUCGAACGAGAAAGUGGAGCAAUCCAUGAGUAAAGUGGCGCACGGGUGAGUAACACGUGACUAACCUACCCUUGAGUGGGGGAUAACCUAGAGAAAUCUGGGCUAAUACCGCAUAAUACCUUCGGGUCAAAGGAGCAAUUCGCUUAAGGAGGGGGUCGCGGCCGAUUAGUUAGUUGGCGGGGUAAUGGCCCACCAAGACUAUGAUCGGUAUCCGGCCUGAGAGGGCGCACGGACACACUGGAACUGAAACACGGUCCAGACUCCUACGGGAGGCAGCAGUGGGGAAUUUUGCGCAAUGGGGGAAACCCUGACGCAGCAACGCCGCGUGGAGGAUGAAGUCCCUUGGGACGUAAACUCCUUUCGAUCGGGACGAUAAUGACGGU
rnacentral:rRNA from 1 species